UUGUAUACUGAUGAUAUUUUGAACUUUUAAAGGAUUCUGGACAAGGUCAUCUUAUAUGAAAAUUAAAAAUGAAGGGGAUUCAUGUGUCACUGUUUGGUGCAUUUGUGAUAUUGCAAUAAAUCUCUUCAUACGAGAGGAACAAAAUCCAAAUGUGAUUGCGCUAUUUGAGACUUUUGAGUGCAAGUAAAUAAAUUACACACCUUUGAAUCUCACAAAUUUAUACUGAACACCUUUUUUUAUUUAUUAAUAAAAAAGAUAGUUGCAUUGAUGAUUAAAAACAAAUAUAAGAGCCUUCAAUUGGAAAGAACAGUAAAACCAGAGUGGAGAUUACAGCUAGAGGGAAGGGAAAAUUACAUGCAAGGAGGUUACCCAAUUAGUAAAAGACAAAGGUAAUGUUUGCAUAUACAAUGGUUAUAUGGAGAACAACAGUGCUACCAAUGGACCUACACUAGCCACAAGAGAAGUAGCAUGCUCAAAUUAGGAAAAGAAAGGUAGCUAUAUUAUGCUUCACAAAAUGGCAGCGUAUCUUUAGAUCUGUCCAUGCUGGUUUAUUUGAUGCCUCUUGUUGUUAGAGCAGUUCAUAUUCACCUGUGGGAGCAUCAUAGAUGUCUUGCAGAUUUGGAGAGUGGCAGUGCAUGGGACACCCAAUGUGAUAUGGAAUGCAUGGAACAUCCAUGGUGUUGGCAGCACAGUGUGCUGUGAUUAGCUUCUAUUUGAACUUUCUACCUCUGCAGGUUAAUGCGUUUUUAUUCAAUGGUAAGGAUCUCCUCUGCAGCCUUUGCUUCACUUUGGAGGUAAAGUUUUGCCUUAGCAGAUCAAGACAUUCAAUCUGUCUAAGUAGACAUUCUUGUAUUAGGAGCUGGUUAUCUCUUUGUUCUUGGAUGUAGGUGACCAAUAAAGAAACACAUUGUUGCAGAGCCAUUUUUGUGUGUGUGCCAUCCAUUGCUACUAAUACUAAUAGUUCAUGCAGGAGUCACUUUUAUUCUACAAGUUGUCUUGGUAUUUGGAAUCAUCAUUCUUGGAUAUAUUUUGAUUUUGAUUUUGAUUUUAAUUUGCAAGCACGCCUUAAGGUCUCCAAUAAAACUUUGUUCUAUGCUUUGGAAGUUGGUGCAUGAAAAAGAGCAGUAGAUUAUUAUGCAGAUUCACCACUUGCUGCAACCUUGAUGAAAUUAUGAUAACUUGAUGUAAAUCUAACUUAGGAGUACUGCAGUAGUUGUUUCACUGUUUUUUUUAAGGCAACGGAACUUGCAUAAGGGUAAAGGUGACAUUUUCUUGAUCAACAAAUGAAUUAAUUGCAAAAGAGGAGCAUAUUACAUUUAGCAAAUUAACUAGAGGAUCAACAUCUAUCAUACCUUAAAAUAGAAUAAUAUCUAGGUUAACUUGUAUGGUUUUUGGCCUCAAACAAUUUAUUGAUUGAUGAGGUGGACAAGUUUGACAUAGAUUGUACUUUAAGGCUUGAGCAAAGUCAUCAACGAUCCCACAUUUUCCUUAUGCCUCAUUUUUCUCUAGUUCGUUUCUCUGUCACUGCAAGGCAUUCUCUAUUGUCUUUUGAAACUUUUAUGAAGUUGCCAUCUUUGGCAUGAUUUUGUUUGCCAUCUAUGGGACUCAUAGGAUGAAGGGUCAUGAGUUUCAAUACCAAGCUUCUUGUAGCUAGACCUCGUGUGAGUGGGCACACAAACUUGAGAGGAAGAUUUAGAUGAUAAACUAUAAUACUAUUAUAAUUUGUUAGGCAAUGCACUUUGAUACAACUAUUCUGGGGCCCACAGGCGCCAACGGACUACACACUAAAAAUGGAUUCAAAUGUGUUAUGUAUUGUUUUGUCAAGUACUUGCUGGUGCAUUGGCCUCCCAAGUUUGGGGUUGGAGUGAGACGAUUUGAUUAUUCAUGUGGAGAGAGGUGUUGUAGGUCUGUAUUUCCACAUUUCCCCUCCUUCCAAAUUCCCCUUUGUACUCUAACAUAGAGCCUCCUAUAUAUCCUUAUUUUGUCCUCAUGACAUUCAUUUUCCUUAACUCCUUAUUCAUGGUGCCUACUAUAUUGUCUUUAUGAUGUCUGAUCAGUGUUCUUAACUUCUUUUAGCUACCUAGGACCCUUUUUAUUGCCUUGGUUUAUUGGAUGAAAUCUAGCCAAUGUCAUUUCCCACGGCUAAUGAAGUUCAAUUCUGUUGUGUUGAAUGAACUAUUGUCAACUUCACCUUUAUGGAUGGUGAUAUUGGCUUUUGGAAUUAUACUUAGGAUUAGGAACCCAUGUAUAGGAUUAUCCUUGAUCUGCUGUAUGCUCAUAAAUAUGUAGAUUUGGAUUGAACUUUGAGGGUAAAAGAACUUCACCAAAAGGAAGUAAAGCUGCAAUAAAAACUCUUAGAGAUCCAGGAAUAGGAAAUCCACAAGCAAAGUAUACCAAGUUGUCCUUGGAGUCUACUAGGGUUUUCUUAAUCCUUCUUGACUUCCUUACAACUAUGUCUCCGCAAGUGCUCAAGCCAAUGGAAACAUUAAAGCACCAAGAAGUCAGCACAGUUAGGUAACUCUUUGUUCUAUUCCAUUCAUUUUGCAGGUAUCAUUAAUUUAUGUUCUAUGGUUUGUUUAUAUUGCAUGAUCAUUGUACAUUUGUUUAUUGCCUCACAUAUUACUUUAGUUUAUUUCUUUACUUCAAUGUAUUACCUUAUUGACCUGCUCAGUAUACUAUCCAUUGCUUCUAGCUCAUUGUUAGAUCUACUUAUUGCCUUGUGCAUUUCUGAUUAGUGUGAUCUAAGAGGGGCCUUCUACCCUUUUCCUAUUUAGAAAUUGAUUUUGUGCAUACAUGUUAUUUUGGAAAUUACUAGGAAGUGAUAGAGUGCACCAACCGCAACAAUUAAAGUGCUGAGGCAAAGAGAACACAAAGACAAUAGCACACCAUGCUAGAAGUGUAAUGCAUGAUUGUAUGAUGAAAAGUUCGAUGAAAAAUACAAAGUUUCAAGGAAAUAAUCCAUAUGCCUUUAGUCCCUUGUAUUCUCCAUUUUCAUUUUCUGCUUAUUCUGGAGGAUAAUACCACUGACACUUUUGGAGCCAUGUAAUGCAGAGUAUGAGGAGUUUUGGACUUUGCGGUAUGAUCAUGCAUGCUUGGGAGGGUCCUAAAAAUGGUAGUAAAGACAACAUUACAUGAAGAUUACCAUUGAUCUGUGACAUGAUGAAGGUUCCAAAUCCUUCUAGAUCAUACAUAUGAGUGGUCCAAUAAUGUUCUUACAGGAAACUACUUCCUUGCACAUAAACUUGCAUGUGUACUACCCCAAACAUCAACGAAACCAACAUUUUUUCCAGCUAAGUUCCCUGUUGUGGUUUUUCAGUGCUCAUAUUACUAGCUUUUUCCUAUUACCUGCAGUUUUUUGGCCUUGAAUGUUAGGGAAGUUCUGCAUGACGUCAGCUACCGCUUAGGAUUGUCCAGCCUGGAUUCCCUAGCUUUAGAUUCUCCUUGGCAAGCAUUCUUAGACUUUGUACUGGUAGUCCUACUGUGAUCAAUGACAUCACCAUUGGUCUUCCAUUGUGUCUCAGAGUGCAGACACUUGAGGAUUUCAGUUGCCCUAGAUGGUCACCUUUUGUUUAUUAUAGUAUGGUGUCCUACUCCUCUAUCUAUAUUGUGUUCACUUGGGGGUUUGUGACCUUUUGUUGAUUAGUCCCCUUUUGUGUUUGCCUCUUUUCUAGGGUCUCCUUUUCUUGCUCCAAUCUUUUGCUAUUGCACUUACUCUAUGUUCCAGUACCUUUGAUCUAUUGUUAGUCAUUUGUGGACAUUUGUAAAUAAUUUUUCAGGAUCUACCACAAAUGAAGGUUCUCAAUUUUAUUUGUUUUAGAAGCCCAUAUGAUUGAUUGGUUUUAAAUAUGUCUUAUGGAAUAGUUCCUUGUAAAAAGGAGACCAAGCAAUGUGAAAUCGAAUACAAUCAGCAAAGAAGGAUCCACUACUUGCAUCAACUACCCCCUCACGCCAUACAUAUUAUUACCAAUCUAUAACUGAAAUAGAUCUUGAAGCCUUCCCUAUUUCUUUGGAUGACGAUUCUUCCACCUACACAUAAAUAUUUGGAGCCCCUGGAAUUGGGAAAGCAACCUUUGAAGUGUGCAUGGAAGAAAUCCUAGGAGUGAAGUUACAAGAUGCAAUGAGAUAAGGGUGAUCCCCAUUAGUUAACCUUUGCAUUUCAGCCCUUUUGUAAAGUGAGUUUUUUUACAAGCAACCUUAUUAUAAUGAUGUUUCCUUUACAUUCAUCGUUGUAAAUUUGUAAAUAUUGCUUUCUCAUAGCAGUGCCCCCAGAAUUCCUUGGUUUCUUUGUGUCAAAAACAAUCACAAAUUAAAGGAAUGCUUUUCUUGGUUUGAAUGCCCCCCUUGCAUGUUGCUUCAACAAUUGAUGGUGAAUCAAAUUGGGUGGCAUUCUCAACUGACCUCUUCCUUUUCGCUCAACUGCCAUCUUCCUCAUCUCACUUUAACUCGCAUCUCUCACCUCCAUCUCCUAAUCAAUGCGUAAACUCUUGCUGUAUACUGCUGAAAGAAAACAAACUGUAAAGAAAAUAGUAAAUUGCUUCUUUUCACGAACACAUAAAAACAAAAGAAUGGAAAAUGUAAUUACCUAGUCUAAAAACUUCUCCCCAUCUCUUAUAAUUUCUUUUAUUUUCUUCUUUCCUCUCUUUUCCUCUUUCAUGCAAUUCUGUAAAUAACAUUUCAAUUUUGCUAUUGUUUUUGGGUUGAGGGGUGAAGGUUCCCACCCCUUUUUGUUCUUUAUAAAGUUUGCAUUCUUGUUUUUGUUUUUUGGUUGACGUUGGUUGUCAGUGUGGACUUCUUCUUGUCUCAAGGACAUCCCCAACAAGUUGGGGACACACUCCCAGCAGUUAGAGACAACCUCCAACAUACUUGGGUUGCCUGGUUGCCCACCCCCUCCUUCAAAAGGCUUCUGGGGCAUGGAAGAGGGAAUGUGUGGAGUGGGUUGGCAGUGAAGGGAGAGGAGUCCUCUGCCUCUUAAGGCUAUGAAGGGGUGUCCUCAUGCAACAGUGUGCAUGUAUAGUGUAAAACAAUUGAGCAAGUCACAUUUUAAUUUCUAAAUUUGUUGGUCUCAUUAGGACAUGAGUUUACACCAACCUAAUGCUAGUUAGAUAGAGGAGUUAAAAUGUUAAUUUUUAGGCAUCAAGUUGUGUUUUCCUCUCUUAAUUGAGUGCACUUCAUUGGUCACCCCUUUAAAAUAUUUCUACUUAUUUCAUCAUUUUUGCAUUUGUCAUCUGCCAAUAUCCAUGUCAGAUUUGAUAUCUACAGACUUUAUCUACUUCACCGUCAUAGGAAGAUCUGUUGUCAUUCCUGCUAUUUUUAUCUGUUGAUACUUAUAUUGUGCAAAUGUGUUAUUGGAUCUGUUAUGAUCUGCUGUUGAUAUUUAGAUAAUCUGUCAUUUUACCAUGAUAUCUGUGCUUGUGCUCUUAAUUGAAUAAUUUUAAUCAUUCCACACAUGGAAUUUUACCCAUACUAUUAGAGUUAAACCACUUGAAAACGUCUUAAUUCUAGCAGUUGUGUUUAAUACCAGUCAAUAUUAUUAUGAUACUGCACUGCUUGCAUUGGAUCAGCUACUUUUUCAUUGGAUAAGCAUGACCUUGAACUAGACUAUUUACAUUUUCAUCUUUACAAGUGCUUCUAGGAUCUCACAUUCCGUGUUUUCAGUUCAACUGGGAAUUUUGGAGCUCCAGUUAGAAUCAUUUCCAAAUUUCUGUUAAAUUACAAUUACUUGCAUGGAGUUUUAUCAGAUUUUCUGGUGGGGUUCUCUUAGUUCUCUCAGAGGCGCGAGAACAAUUCUGUAACUUGUUGUAAGAUCAAAAUAAGUUUCAAUAAAGAUUUUGAAAAGUUUCCAUCUUUGCUUAAAGGUAUUUAAUGAAUUAUAUUUGGAAAUGUUUGUUUUUGGUACGAGCUAAAGCAAUUAUGAGACUGCAUACUUGCAUUGAAUCUGCUAAUUUUUUAUUGGAUAACACACCCUUGAAUUAGACUACUUGGAAAUAGAUAUUAAACUAUUUGGGACACAGUUGAAUAUGAACUCUUAAGCAAUCUCAAGUUUUUCAAAAGUUGUCAGGACUAAAAAGGUUUAGUCAGCCAGGACUGACUCAGAGCACGCUCCAUGAUUCUUAUCCUUUCUCCAAAGAUAAGAUACAUGGUAUCAUGAUGUAAUAUUUUGCAGCUACAUUUUACUUUAAUUUGUGUAAUAGGACUGUCAUAUUUAUAAAUGUGCUUAUACAUUAAUUAUUUUGACUUGGGGUUUACACAAUCUUCCUCAAGCAGGAUAAAUAAUCAUUAAUCAAUGUUCCACAUGGAUGCAUUCCUAUGGGUUUGGGUGAUGUCCUAGAUUUCUUAAGGAAAUGGAGGAAGAGGUAGGGUAGCAAUUUAUGAGAUAUUGAUUGGUCGAUGACUUGGAUUUUUAACCUUGUUGCUCAAUGUACCUGUUUACUAUGCAUGCUGCAAUCUUUGUUUUUUUGACAUCUCUCAAUAUUCCACAAGCAGGAUAAAUAAUCAUUAAUCAAUGUUCCACAUGGAUGCAUUCCCAUGGGUUUGGGUGAUGUCCUAGAUUUCUUAAGGAAAUGGAGGAAGAGGUAGGGUAGCAAUUUAUGAGAUAUUGAUUGGUUGAUGACUUGUAUUUUUAAGCUUGUUGCUCGAUGUACCUGUUUGCUAUGCAUGCUGCAAUCUUUCUUUUUUUGACAUCUCUCAAUAUAAAUUAUGCUUUAUAUUAUGUUUAUCAUCUAAGUUACUGGGUUCGGGUUCGGGCACUGGUUUGGGUUUAUUAUUGUGUAUAAAAUCAUAAAUCAGUGAAUUAUGAAUUUAUAGAAAAGCUUUUAAAGUGUAAAAUAAUAAACCGAAAGCCAAUUAAUUAUCGAAGGCUUCACUGUUCGAAGCCCACCCUUCUUCGUCGAAUCCCUCCCUUCAUCGACGACAACUCUAUCUCUCCCUCCAUCGACAAUCAACUGCAAACUAGUGUCGGCAACUGCAAAUGGGUGUUUUCAUCGACGACAACCUACAAACAAGUGUUUUCGUCGACGACAACUGCAACGUGGGUGUAUUGACUUUAAUGACUGUUGUCGAACCGAACCGGACGCGAACCAAACUCGAACUGAGACCCAACUCGAACCAGGACCAGUAUUUGGGCUCUGAGUGCCGAACCCGGUAACUUAGUUUAUCAUAUAUGGCAGACUUGUUGGGUACUCAAAAGUCAAACUCAAAACAAGUAAUUUUCUGAAAUACUUGCCAUUUUUUGGCAAGUACUCGCUAGGAAGUCUGUAAGUCUGUGCCAAAAACUCUUGGCCAGUGGACAAAAAGGGUCAUUUGAGUAAAAAAUAGACAGAAAACACACAAAAGUGCUAAAAAAGGCGUUUCUUCUCUACAAAACCCCCAACGGCCCUCCCAUCUUUGAACACAGCCUUCACAUGUCAAUAAAUUGUUUUUUGGUGAAUUGGAAGGCAAAGUUGAAGCACAUGUCAAUAAAAGGGUUUUUUGUUUUUUGUUUAUCUUUAAAUAUUUUACUUCAUUUUGGCUGCAAAAUCCAACAUCUUGGUAAAAAUUUUUCAUGUUAUGCGAAAACUAAAUACUAUUUUUGCAUUUUAUUUAUAAAAAAUUAGAUUGAUCACCAUUUUUUACUUAAUUAGAGUAAUUUAUAUUUAAUUUAAACUAAUUUAAUGUUGAUUUUAGCAAUUCUUGUUGAAUUUACGUUAAUUUUUUGUAUUUAAACAUUGAAAUGUUGUGCUUUCUUUGUAUGUGUAGGUUAAAUACAUCAUAUGAUGGCAAAUAGAGAAGCUUCUGAAUUAGGUUCAGCCUCAGGCUUCACCCUGUCAGUGCCACUGCUGAUUAUGGGCACUCCUAUUGGAGCUAGAGACCCUGCUUGGAAAUAUGCCUAUCAAGGACUGAUACAUGCGACAAUUGUUUGUAGUAGAUGCACAAACUUAUAUCAUGGAGGCAUAAAUCAUCUCAAAUACCAUAUUGUAGGCAUUACUCAUCGUGAUGCCAAACCCCGUGUCAACAUUAUUAAAAAGAUAAAAAGAUAUAUGAAUGCUUAUUUUGCAACCAUUGGCAAUAUAGAAAAUAUAGCGAAAGGAGAAGACAAGAGCAGCCAUAGCAGCAUCCAUAGCUAGUGGUCAUUGUCGUAAAGUACAACUAGAACUAGAUGAAGAUGACAUGUCAAGGCAUAGUGGGUUCUCUUUGUGGUCCAUGCAUCUGAAGCAAAUCGACCUCCACUUCAUCUACUUCAAGUAGAGUGCCAUACCUACACCUACACACAUUCCACAAUUUUUUUUUUGCUCAAAAGCACAUCUAGAGCAAAAUUAUCAUUGGAAGCUAUAUGGUGGAAUAGGGAGGUGCAUGAACAUGCAGAUGUGACACGUGUUGAUUUUUGGUACUUCAGCAACAUUCCUUUCAAUGUUGCAAAUAGACCUUAUUGGGAGAAUUUGGUAACUACAUUGAUGGGUGUAGGAAUAAGCUUGAAGGUGCCUUCUCUUAAAGAUUUUAGUGGGAGGUUGCUUAUAAAUGCAACCAAAAGGACAAGGCUAAUAGUGGAAGAAUAGAUGCAAUGGAAAAAAUAUGGCUGCACUAUUGUUUCAAAUGGGUGGAUAGAUGGGAAAACCCACACUAUUAUCAUUUUAUUGGUAGCUUCAAAUAGUGAGGUGACAUUUUCAAAUCAGGUGAUGACUCUAACAAAGUCAAAUAUGCGGAAACAAUAUGUCCAACAUUGGAGGAAGUUGUCACGGAGGUUGUAGAGAAUGUGGUACAAAUCAUAAUUGAUAAUGCAACAACAUAUGUGGAGGCUAGGAGAUUGCUCUGAAACAAACAUAAGACACUUUUUUGGACACCUUGUAUGGGAAAUUGUCUUGACUUUCUUUUGGAGGACAUAAACAAACUUUAUUGGGUGAGACCAGUUGUAGAUGAUGCAAGGAGCAUAACAAAAUUUAUUUACAAUCACCCUUGGGUUCUUAAUUUGACGAAAGAUCACACCCAAGGGAAAGAGCUGGUAAGAUCGAGUGUCACAAGGUUUCCAAUGAUUUUCCUAAUGUUGCAAAACAUUAUUGGCUUGUUGACUUUUUUGAAACAGAUGUUUGUGAGUUAGUAUGGCUAGCCUCAUCUUAUUAAAAGAAUCCUGAAGGAACGAGGGUUGACAACUUUUUUGCACAGAGAGCUAUAGAGAUCGUGAAGGUGUCAGAGCCCCUGGUUAGAGUUCUUUGUUUGGUAGAUGGGGAUCAAAACCUAAUGGGGUAUAUUAAUGAGUCCAUGGAUAGGGCCAAAGAGUCCAUACAAUAUUACAAGAGGGACAACCUUAGAUUUGAUCCCAUUUGGGAGAUCAUUCUUCGAAGGUGGAACAAUCAACUCCACCAACCCAUCCAUGCAGCAAGAUGCUGAAGACAACUGGAGACAGAGUGCUAUUAUUUUCUCAAUGUUUACAACAUGGUUGACAUUGAGACAUCACACAGUAUUGAAGA